UGGGGCGUGAAGGAAAACGCCAUGACCAUCCAAUGGGCAGCGGUUGCCAGCUUUCUGUAUGCCGAGAUAGGACUCAUUUUAAUCUUCUGUCUGCCCUUUAUCCCUCCUCAGAGAUGGCAGAAGAUUUUUUCAUUUAGUGUCUGGUCUAAAAUUGCAAGUUUUUGGAACAAAGCUUUUCUUACCAUUAUAAUACUAUUAAUCGUUCUAUUUUUAGAUGCUGUGAGAGAAGUAAGGAAGUAUUCCUCCACUCAAGUCACUGAGAAGAGCUCAGCCGGCAGGCCUAGUGCCUAUGAGCACACACAGAUGAAGCUCUUUAGGUCCCAAAGGAAUCUUUAUAUUUCAGGAUUCUCAUUAUUUUUUUGGCUAGUGUUGAGACGUCUGGUUUCGCUUAUUACUCAGCUGGCAAAGGAAAUAUCAAACAAAGCAGUGCUUAAAAUUCAAGCAGAAAAUACCAAUAAGGCUGCCAAGAAAUUCAUGGAAGAGAAUGAAAAGCUAAAAUGGGUACUAAAAAACAAUGGCAAGGAUGAAGAACAAAUUUUGGAAACUGAAAAUAAAAAGCUAGUAGAAGACCAGGAGAAACUGAAAACUGAAUUGAAGAAGGCUUCAGAUGUUGGUGGAGUUGUCUGGGAAGGAAUAACAGGCAUGGCCUCUCUUUCUCUCUGGCCUCAGUGUGCUCUUUGCCUCCUUUUUGGACUGAAUGUGAGUGUUAAGAUGUUCCUGCCACCAUGCCUUUGCUUUGCCAUCAUGGAUUCUAACCCUCAAAAACGCCCUUUUAAAGGCACAAAACGAUGUGGUAACUAUGAAGAUGCAGUCAGAGAGACUUUCAAAAGAAUAUGAUCGACUCCUGAAAGAACACUCAGAACUUCAGGUUACUGAACUAGAAAGAGCAUCUAAAGAACCGUUUGGAAAAAGACAAAAAGAAAGUCCUGUGAAUUAAUUUUAUAAAAGAAGAUUGUCAUACACCGUGUCAAGAAAAUAAAUUUGUUAUCAUGGUAGCCACUAACAUUUUCAAAAUUCAGCCAAAAAAGCUCUGCUAGCAGCCACAGGCGCACAUAGGCUAUAUAGUACUGAUGUUAUCAAAAUAUUUGAUAAUGCUUCAGAUAUAAAGUAUGUGUUUCAGCUCUAUUGAAAAAUAUAAGCAUGUGAAUGCCAUAUUUAUAUAUUGCUAAUAGCAUUGGUAUAUAGUGGCUCUUUCCCCAUAAAAGGAAAAAUUCACUAGCCAUUUGCUUCCCAAAAUAGUUCUGAAGUUGCAUGAAACCAUUAUUAGCCUUAAAAGCUUUGAUGUGUUUUCAGUAAUAAUCAGUGGUGGUGGUGAAAAUGAUGUUUAAAAAUGGUACUCAGUCAGAAAAUUUGUUCACAGGGAAAUAACCAUAAAUAACCACAAUAGCCACUGUAUUAAUAGAGGAGAGUCAGAGAGAACAAUGAAAACAAUGGCCGUAGGGUUUCUUCAGCCUAGUGAGUCCACUACACAUGGCAGCCUAGUGAGUACUCUACACAUGGCAGCACUAUUGUUAGCUGUGUUUUUUGUUACUAUGCUUCUGUACCUAUUAGACUAUUUUUAAUUGAUAUGUGUUUAGUCAUAUAUAAUCAAUAUUCUAUCUUUGCAAGUUCAUCUAGUAAUAGAAUUUAUGUCCAUUUGUGUAACAGUCGUAACAUUGGACUGAACUAUGUUGCACUGUGGAAUUCUCCACUUACAAAGCUCAUUUAUGACAUCCAAAAGGUCAUGUUUCUUAUGCUUGUGAAAGUUACUGACUAUAUAUAUAUUAAUUACCUCAGUAUACAUGCACUGGUAUCAAACAGAUCUCUCAACGAUGUUUCUGUAUUUUCAAAGUUAAAUACUGGUUUUCAUGCAAAUAUUCAUGUAGAGGUAGUAAUUAUAGUAAUAUAAUUUAGAUUAUUUCAAUGUUUAACUGUGAAAAGCCACUUGUCUUAAAAUGAUUUAAAUAUAAAAGAAAAUAUAAAGCAAUAAUUGGAGUUUUUAA